rfam:Enterococcus faecalis V583, complete genome.
GCAAAGACAGCGAACAAGAGGAGUAUCAUUGGCGUCGUUUUAGAGAAAAAGUCGUUCAGGUGCAAGACUUUUACACAACCAGUGAGAAGGUAGCUUGUGAGUCAAUGGUUUGAACACAGUACGUUAGUAGAACGAUUCGUUUCGUGAACGUUAUCUCACGAAUGAGUGGCAUUUGAAGGAAUUCAAUUCAAAUGCAAUUUAGGUGGUACCGCGUAAAUAAGAUGAAUCUACGCCCUAAAA